rnacentral:lncRNA from 1 species
GUUCCAUAGCUUGACAGACUUGUCAAACGAAGCACUUGCCACCCAUUGUCCAUCAGGGGAAAAGUAAACAUGGUUCACAAGCUGACAGCGAGCAAAACAUUAAAGGCUCAACUUAAGAGUUUGAAGAAAGAAAUCGAUGCAAUUGGAUAGGUUCAAAAUUUAGGGUCUCUUUACCAUGCAUAGAGAACUUCAUUGAUAAUUGAGAAUUGGAGGAACACUUCCAGAUCAUAAUAGGUCAUUAGUGAAAGCAUUCCCUAAGAAUGCUAGAGUGGGUCUAGCCAUUGAGGUGGAGAUUUCAGUGUUGAUGAAAGGGCUAAAGCUUGCUAAACCCGAGGGUUUAUCUAGUCUUCUAGUAGAAGGAGAUUCUACAGUAGUGAUAUAUUGGGUAAAUGAGGAGAGAAGCUCGUGGCAGUUUGAUGGAUGGCUACACCAAAUUUUUGACAUUACUCCAAGUUGUUAAAUUGAUGGAUUCCAAUUUAACAACUUUCUUUCUUAUUCAACAUUUUUUAUCAAUCUAUGAACAUAAAAAAUGACUAAUAUUCCAAUGUCAUUUUGUAGCUGAGCUUUUGGGUUCAUCCAAGCCCAGUGCUCUGAAAAGAUGAUGCAUGUCUGGAAAGAAAAGACAAAAUCAGACAUGUUUCACAUUCAAGGGUCCAGUAGUACUCUAAAAUGCAAUCUAAGAAAAAACAUCAAAAAGCGUUGAUUGAUAGUUUUUGUUUUUGCUUUCUUUUCUUUUUUCUUUUUUUAAAUCAGGAAAAGCAUUGAUUGAUAUGCAGAUACCAUGUCUGUAACAACCAGAGAAUGCUUCCAUGGAGGCUAGCUAAAGGGUCUGGAAAAAAUGGGCAUGAUUUUGAAAAGGAAAUAAUACAAAUUGAGAAAAUUACAGAGAUUCCAAACACAUGAUUUUAAUUGGCAACAUAAUUAGAUAUAUAUAAAUGCUGCAAUAGGGCUCGUACUUCCAAACCGAAUAGUUUCAUUAAUGCAUGGACAAAGUUGAUGAUUUUGUUUAUGCAUUUCUGUGAAAGAACAAGAAGGAACACCAUAAAAACAAGGAAACAAAAAUGGUAAGUGCAAAAUCCUAAGAAGUGUUAAAUUGACCUGUAAGAGCUAGUAGUUCAGAUGGUACCAGGAGGGCAACCACAAAGAUUAAGGUCUUGAGUUCGAAUCCUAGGGACGUCACCCUCAAGGGCCAAAUAAACAAAUGGCCCCAUAAGACUCUGCGCUUUGCCUUAUGGUCUUGAGUAGUCUCUGGACUCGAGGGCAAACCAUAUACUCCGGGCGGAUAAGACAAAUGACAUCCAACAAGAAGGAUAUAAAAAGAAGGUUGGGUUUAAAUUUAAAUUCAACCAACAAAAGAUUACCUCCUUCAUUUCCUCUGGAGAUGUAUAUUGUUUGCCAGUAUGAUCAAAAGCUCUAGUGCGAAGAACAUAUUCAUUGCUCAAUGCAAGGGAAUUAACCCAAUGCCUAUGGCCCUAACAUCAAUUAAAAUAUUGUAUGUGUGUUAAGAUGUUUUAAAGCUAUAAUAACAAGGUUCUGAGAACCUAACCAAGACUAACUAUAUGAUUAGUAUGUUAUCUAGACUCCAAUAUUAAUUUCAUGUGCGUUACAGGGGCUUCUGGGUACAUAGCUUCAUGGCUUGUCAAGCUCCUGCUCCAACGUGGCUGCACCCCGUCAAUGCAUCAGUUCGCGACCCAGGUAUGUAUUCAAUCUCUCCUACAAUUCCCAUAUUUCUGUCUUAUCUAGCUAUAUCAAAUACCCUCUGUUUGGCCGCCCAGAAAACCUGGGAAAUUGCGGUAAAGAGGGGGUUAGUUUCCAUUUUUGAGUCUUCUGACCCGAAUAAUGAAUAACCCAAGAUUCAAUAUUUAGCUUCUUUUCUUUUUGUCGCCAUUUCAGCACCUAGCCAUAGUUAAAAGGCAUUAACUAUUUUAGAUUUAGUUCGAAUUUCAAUUUUUCAUAGGGCGAUUCCUAUUUUGAUCUAAGAAUAUGAAGGAAAAGGCAAAGUAAAGGAGGGGGUUUUUGUGCUUGGAGUUUUUUGACCACAUGAUGAAUGACCCAUGAUUCAAAAUUUUAAUCAGAGACAGAACCCGAGUGUUAAUUACUUCUAUAAUUGUAAACUUCUCUGUAUAAUCCCAAUUUUAAUGGAUAAUGUUUUGAUGCCAAGAAAGUAAAGGAGAAGGUUUCUGUGUUUUAAGUCUUUUGACCAAAUCAUGAAUGACCCAUGAUUCAAAUUUAAAUGAUUAGUCCUGAUUUUGAUCUGUCAACAAUUCAUUGUUUUUAUGAUUUUUAGGAUUUAAUUGCAGCCACCAACUUGAAAAUGCAUGUGACAUAGUGAUUUGGCUAAAUUUUUGGAGAAUUCUCAUUGGGAAGGACCUUGAAGGCAUAUUCUUUGAUGUGGGACUCACAACAACAUGACAAUUUUACGAUUUUAGUAGUUUUGAUACUGGUUUGUAAUGACUAUGAAUGAGAGCUUGGGUUCAUUUUGGUUUUUGAACCUGUUAGUUUACCCAGCUUGAUCAAUGGCUUUUAGGAAUCAUGUAUACAAGUCACAAACUUUGCUUCAGCGCUCUUUCAUGAAAUAGUUCUUUACACGCCCUUUUUCUGCAUGAUUAACAGGCCCUUUUUUCUCAUUGAUUUUCUGUACAAUUUAUUUGUUCUAUUGAUCAAUGCCUCAGAUGAUCCAACAAAGACAGAACGCUUACUAGCACUUGAUGGGGCUAAAGAAAGGCUUCAUUUGUUUAAAGCCGUCUUCCCGGAAGAAGGAUCUUUUGAUUCUAUGGUAGAUGGAUGUGAAGGUGUUUUCCACACAGCAUCUCCAUUUUGUCACACUCUCUCUAAUCCACAGGUUCAUCCUACAUCACUUCUUUUGCUUUAUUGUAAAUUUAAUAUGUAGAUAUGUUAUCCAAGUUUUUGUUAUUGGCUUUUGUUUGAACAUUCAUUUCGGAGUUAUGGGACCACAGAGUUGCAACCAAUCAUGUCUUCAUCUAGAAAUCCACCAAAACCGACUAUCAUCCAGUGUUUUUCUAUUACACAAAAUCAUUCUACAAAAUUGUAAAUUAUCAUGGAAACUGAAUCUGCAUCUUGGCUUCAAAUGAAGGGAUAGGACCUCCUCUUAGCAGAGAUAGCAAAAUCUGAAUGUCCUUUCACUAAGCACGAUCUUGGCUAUAUGAUUUAUCUCACUCAGAGAGCUUUUUCUUGCUGACUUGAAGCAGAAGCCUGUUAAGCAUAGUUAGCUCCCUUUGGCACCUUCUAAGUCUGUCAGUUCAGAUCUUUCAAGGACUUCUGCCUCAAAAGUAGUGGGGAAGAUGGGCUUCAGCCACUCAAUCCUCAAAAGAUUUUACUUUUAUAAUUUGUGAAUGCAUUUUUUUGUGUCAAGGAUUUAGCUUGUGUUGUUCAGUUGCUCUAAUAUAAAAUCUCCAUGAAGUUAUACUCUUUUAGUUUGUAGGACCACUUCAUUUGUAAUAUAGCUAAAUCUUUUUGACUCAAACAGUUGGGCUUAUUUGAUGUUACAGAGAUGCUGUCAAUGCACAUAUCCAAGCGAUUGAGGUUCCUUCAGCUAAUUUUAUAAAUUCUAGUUGGAUUUAGACCAAGGUUUAGAUGGUCCAUAUUCAAUUCAAACCGAAUUUUAUACUUUUAUAAAAAUUUUAAUUUAUAUUAUUUCAUAUAAGAAUAAUUAUUUUGUGUUUUUUCUUUAAUUUAUAAAGAAAAAAAUGUCAAAUUAUAAUUAUUUUACAUACUAUUUCAGUUUUUAUUAGAAAGAUACAUAAAUUUUUCUUCUUUUUUUCUUUUUUUUCUUAUUAGAUUAUACGUGAUGCGAUUGUUAGUCCGCUUUAGAAAUAUGAAUCACAUAAUUAUGAAGAUUAUGUUAUAAAAAGCAGAGAAAAACUUGGCAAAUAUCAUAACUUAUGGUAUUAAUUCUCAUAAAUAUGUUUUUAGCCGAUAACGCUUUCAUCAAUAGUUAGUUAAGAAAAAACAUUUUUGUAAAGAAGCGGAAAACAAAAAAAGUGGUUAGAAAAUAUUGAAAAAAAAAAGUCUAUUAAGUGCUAAUUCAAAGUAAAACUAUAUAUUUAAUUUUUUUUAAGGAUUUAAGAAUUCUUUUUUAAACUCAGGUUGGGUUUGGUGGGUUGGGGGGGGGGGGGGGGGGGGUGGUUUGAGCCUUAUUUAUAUAUAAAAUUAAAUACAAAAAAUAAAAAUUGUUUAAUCAUGUAAUUUGAAAACGGUUUUCCAUUUUUAAAAAUAGAAAGAGACAAAAUGAAAUAAAAAAUAAUUUUUAGAAAACAAGUAGAAGUUGUUUUGUUUUCAUCGAUUUUUAAAAAUAAAAGAAAAAUAUGAAUUCGUUUGAUCAUGUUUUUAAAAUUUAUUUAAAAUUAAAGAUUAAAAAAUAAUUUUUAAAAAUAAGUUUCAAAAAUCACGUAAAACGAUCCCUUAUUUUUUUAUUUCCCUUUUUUAAAUAUGUUUAAAAUAAAAUUACAAAUUUACUUUUUAUCAAAUAAAAAUAUAAAAUUUAUGAAAACCAAUUUAUUUAGUCAUAAAUUAUUUCGAUUUUAAUAAAAUUAAGGUUUAGAAUAAAAUAAAAUAAAAAACCAAUAGAAAAUUUUAAAUAAUUUUCUAAACUUUAAUUGCUAAACUUAAGAGUUAAGUAAUUAAGAUGGGUUGGGAUGAGGUUGACAUGGUCCAUCAACAUAGCUGUCCAAAGUACAAUAAUUGCUAAACUUCAAAGUUGGUAAUUGGGAUGAAAAUAACAUGACGAAAUUAACAUAAUUGUCCAAAAUACAAUAAUUGUUUCACUUUAAAAUUGGUGGUUGGGAAUUGGGAUAAGGUUGACAUGGUCCCACCAACAUAGCUGUCCAAAGUACAAUAAUUGCUAAACUUUAAAGUCGGUGGUUGGGACGAAAUUAACAUAAUUGUCCAAAAUACAAUAAUUGUUACACAUUAAAGUUGGUGGUUGGGAUGAGAAUUUAUAAACAAUAUAAAUCCUGUAUCUAAAAUUACUAGGGCCUUGAAAUUGACUCAAAAUUUGGAAUCAAGGCAAGGUCAAAAAUGGUGUCUAUAUUACUUUUUAAUUUCCAUAUUUUUUUUAUUUUCUUCUAGACCCACCACUAUGCCAUUAAAAUUGGCUAAAAAUUAUUUGAAAUCCAAAGUCAUAUUCCUUUUCACCCUAACAACCAUUGAGACGUUACAUUGGUAGAAAACAUUAUUGGAAUUAAAGUGGUAUUUAGUAUUUACUAUUUAUAAUAUCAAUUUUUUAUCUCUAAAAUUGUCUUUUGAUGUUCUAUAAUCCAUGCCAAUAAAAUAUAGAUACGAAAUUUGGACUUGGAUUUUUAUAUGCUACAAAGUAGAAUAGAUUUGAAAACAUAUUUAAAUAAUAUUUUUUUAAAAAAAAUUAAUUUAAAAUUUUGUUGUAUUUUGUAAAAGAAUCUCAAUAAUUGUUUCUCUGAUAAUUGUUUACAAGGGCUCCACUUGUCCGGAACCAAUUUUAUGUCCUUUUUCCAUUUUGUGGAACCUACCACUCUUAAAUUGUAUUGCUAAAGACAUCAUGGGAAUCCAAGGUCCCAUUCACUAUUCAUUAGAUUAAACUUUUAUAUAUGAAAAAAUAUAUUUGAUUCUUAAAAGUGUUUUUAAAGUAUAUUUGAUAGUGAUUUUGAAAAGUAUUUAUAAUAUUUUUAAUGCUUGAAAAAUAAAAAUUUUCAAUUAUUAGAAAAAUUAAAAAUAUUUUUUAGAAUCACUAUGAAAUGCACUUUUAAUAGUGAUUUUAAAAAAUGUUUCUAAUUUUUCUAACACUUAAAUGAUAAAAAAAAAUUAGUAUUAAAAAUGUUAAAAACGCUUCUUAAAAUCAUUACUAAAUGAGUUCUUAGUCUUUCUUGCAUUUAAAAAUUUUAUCUUUCAAAUAUUAAAAAAAAAUUAGAAAUAUUUUUUAGAAUCACUACUAAUCGCACUUAAAAUUGCUUUUUAACUCUUUAUAGUGAAUAACAAUGGACUAUAAAUAAGCAAAUUAUAUUAGGAUUAAUUAAGGAUUUUUCAUUAAAGAAGGCUAUCGAUUGCACUCAUGGAAUGACAUUGGCCACUUCAAAAAUUAUAAAUUAGGUGGAUAUUAUGGUAUUAGAAAAGUAAUUUUUCGAUGUCAUACAAAAAAGUGGUGGCAAAUAAGACACCAUCAUAUGAUAAAAAUAGUUUCACUUGCUUGUUAUUUGAUCUAGAUUUUAUUUAUUUGUACUUAAUUCCUUUUUUUUUGUACUUAAAUGUCAUUUUUUUGUUUUGGUUCUAUUUUUUUAACUCGAUUUUAUAUAUUUAAGGUAAUUACUUAGAAGCUAUAUAACAUCACCUUAAACCUCAAAAAUUCCAUCUUAAUUCAUUUUCACAUUUUUCUUUUCAGACCCACUACAUAACUUCAACUUUAGAAAAAUCAUCUUAUAGCCAAGGUAAUUGUUUGGAAUGUGUUGUAACAUCACUUCAAACCUAAAAAAUUUCAUCUUAAUUUCCACAUUUUUCUUUUCAGACCCACUACAUGGUUCCAACUUUGGAAAAAACAUCUUAUAUUCAAAGCAAUUACUUGGAAGGUGUUGUAACAUCACCUCAAACCUCAAAAAUUCCACCUUAACUUCCACAUUUUUCUUUUCAGACCCACUACAUGGUUCCAACUUUGGAAAAAACAUCUUAUAUUCAAAGCAAUUACUUGGAAGGUGUUGUAACAUCACCUCAAACCUCAAAAAUUCCACCUUAACUUCCACAUUUUCUCCAACUUUAGAAAAAUCAUUUUAUAUUCAAGGUAAUUACUUGGAUCGAAGUAUUGUAACAUCACCUCAAACCUCAAAAUUUUCACCUUAAUUUCUGCAGUGUUCUUUUCAGACCCACUACACAGUUCCAACUUUGGAAAAAACCAUCUUAUAUUCAAGGUAAUUAUUCGGAAGGUGUUGUAACAUUACCUCAAACCUUAAAAAUUCUAUCUUAAUUUCCACAUUUUUCUUUUCCGACCCACUACAUGGUUUCAACUUUGGAAAAACCAUCUUAUAUUCAAAGUAAUUACUUAGAAAGUGUUGUUACAUUACUUAGAAAGUGUUGUUACAUUACCUCAAGAAUGUAGGUUAGCAUUUAGAUACAAACCAAAAGAAGUGUUUUAAAAAUGUUUUUGAUCAUAAGUAAUAUAUUGAAAAAAAAAUGUGGUUUUAAAUAAAGUGUGCAUCAAAUAUGAGCUCACAGUGAUAAUCUACAUUUUAAAAAAAAUUCAAAAUACAUAAUUAUUUGUAGAAAAACACUUCUAGCUAUUAAAAAAAAAAAUUAACCCCCUUUUUAUAGUUGAUAUUCCUCCAAGUCUUUAUACUAUGUUUUUAUUUUUAUUUUUCCACAACUAGAGAUUACAAAUGGGAAUGGGUUUAGCAGAGUUUAAAUCAAUUAAGAUUGAAUUUGAUAAUUCAUUUUUUAAAUCCAAGAUUGGGUUAAAUGAGAUUAAGAGUACGUUUUCAUUAAAGUGUUUUUCUAUAAUGUUGAUUAAGACCUUAGAGGACGUUCAUAAAUCAUAUUAGGUUUUACCCAAAUUACCCUCCUAGUCAUCUCAAAUUUUUAUUUUUUUUAUUUCCUUCAAAUAUAUUUUUCUUUUUUAUUUAUUUGUUGAUGGAUCAUAUAGAACAACCAUUCUCUCCCCAUCUUUUUCUUUUUAAAAGAGAUAUUCAAAAAGCACCUUUAGAUUUGGUCUAAAGUAUCUUUAAAUUUGGUCUAAAGUGAUUAAAAGGACAACCUAUCUUUGGACAAUAUAAUUGCAAUUUGAAAAUUAAAACAAAUAUAAUGAGCAUGAAAUUUUUUUACCAACCGUUAUAAUAAUGUUUUUCAAUUGAAGAUUUUUUUAUACCUUAUUAGUUUGGAGAGAAUAUGAAUUAGAAAUUGUGUUAGUGAAUCGUAUUUGUGUCGUGUCAGAUUACAAUAAAUUAAAAACAAAUAAAAAUUAAUUUAAAAUUUGUUUGUAUUUUGUAAAAAGUCCCAAUAGUUGUUUCUCAUGUUGCACUAAUAAUUGCUUACAAGGCUCCAAUUGCUGGGACCCAAUUUUAUAUUCUUUUUCACAUUUUCCAAUUUGUGGAACCUACCACUAAGAAGUUAUAUUAUUAAAAAUAUUGUUGGAAUCCGAAGUCUUAUUCAGUGUCUAUUAAAUUAUUAUUAUUAUUUUUUUUAUCUAUGAAGUUGUUUGUCAACUCUCUAUGAUCGAUAACAAUAGAUUUUUCAUCAAACACGAGUUGAUUGCAAUGGUUGUCCCACUCCACCACAUUUAUUUAUAAAAUUAAAUAAAAAUAAUUUAGUUUCUUUAUUUCGAUUUCCCAUUUAAAAUAUAAUUGAAAAUAUAAUUUUUAUCAAUACUAAAUAUAAAAUUUACAAAAAAUAAUUUUUUUUACUCAUAAAUUAUAUUUAUAUGAAUAAGAUCUAUGUUUAAAAAUAAUAUAAAAUGGUAAAAAUUUUUAAAUAAAACAUGAGGACUAUAACUUAUAACUUAAAUAAUCAAUAUAAGUUGAGGUGAGGAUGAUAUAACCGAUGAACAUGAUUAUACAAAAUACGAUAAAUACUAUAAUUUAAAGUUAGUGAUUGGGAUGAGGAUUACAUCUUCUCAUUAACAUAAUUCUUCAAAUUAAAGUUGGUGCAUACCAUCUCACACUAAUAAUUUUCUCAAAAGUCUUAAUUUCCAUCUUUAGUACUUUUAUCCUUUUCAUAAGUUUCUUAUUUAAGGAUAUGAAACAUGGAAAAAUUUCAUAAUCUUCUCAUCUAAGGGGCCAAGGGGUGAACCACUAAAAAAAUAAGAAGGUAAAGUGUCCAUUCGAUCUAUUUAUUAUUUUUUGUUUUUAAAAUUAGAAAAUUCUAUACAAAAGUAGAACAUGUUAUACAAAAAAUUUAAAUUUAUGUUAUUUUUUUUAAAAUCACUUUAAUUUUUUUUAAAUUGACUUAGUAAUUUUUUUUAAUACCUUAAAUUUUUAAAUGAUUUUUAGAACUAUUAUUUUAUAUAUAUAUAUAUAUAAGUCGCUAAGAAUUCUUAUAUCUUAUAUAAAAGUUAUUUCUAUUUACUUAUUUUAAAAAUAGAAAACAACAAGUUUAUCCAAAUAGACACUAACUUUAUCAUUGUCUUUCUUAUGAUAUAUUUAUGAUUUGUGGAUAUGGAUGACAAUGUGGCAUAUUUUUUCGGAUACCACCCCUAAUUGGAUGAGUUUGAAAUUUAAAAAUUAAGCAAGUUAAGAAUGAGUUUGAGAUUUAAAAAAAAAAAACUCGAAAUAGGUUCGGGGUAGGUUCGAGUAAUGUCUUGUCCUGUUCUGCUUCGCCUUGCCUUGCCCUGUCCCAAUUAUAUAUAAAUUAUAAAUUAUAAAUUAAUUUAAUUUGAUUUUUAUUUUUUUAUUUUUAAUAAAAUAUUUUAUAAAAAUUUAUAAAUUUUGAAUUAUUUAUAAAAUAUAUUUAUUUUAAUAUAAUUAAAAUUUUUUAAAAUAAUAUUAAAAAAAAUAAGGGCGGGGUGACCCAUACAUUCCCACCCCAUUUAAUUUUUUUUUUAAUGAAAUGAGAAUGAAAAUUAUUUUAAAUAAAUGGGGUAGAGUUGGAGUGGGGGCGACUUAUUCCAAUCCAAAAUAAUUAUCAUAUGAAUGGUUGAUUUUAUAAGCAACUAUAUCAACUAAUAUAAAAGAUAUUAUAUGUUAAAACUAAUACCGAUAUUAAGGUUGGUUCAAAAAUUAUUUUGAUAAAAACACUUCUAAUUUAUAGCAUUUCUAUUUUAUAUAUAUAAAUAUAUUUAUCAAAUGUUUAGUUUUUGUUAUAGAAACAUUUUUAGGCAUUUGGAAGCAUUUCCAACUUCCCAAAAUCAUUGUGAAACGGUUCUAACCUUUUUAAAUUUAAAACAUCUUUCCUUUUUCUUUUAUACCCACUAGGCAUUGAAUUGGCUCCAACUUUGGAAAAUCACUCAUCAAAUUUUCUUUUACUUUAUAACUCUUCUCAUUCAUUCCAUACCAAUAAAGUAUAUAGAUAAGUGAAUUGGAUUUGAAUUUUUGGGCUCAAAUAAAUUAUUUCAUUUUAGUCAAAUUAAACUAAAAUCAAGUAGAAAAGAUGUAGCAAUUAUGUAGAUUAGAAAUUAAUUUGUUAAAUAAUAUAUUUUUUUAAAUUAUUUUUAACUUAAAGUCCUUACAUAAGACUAGUUUAACAAACAAAUCAUAGAAAUAUUCAGGUAGGGUCUUGUAUUGAGUUUUAUCACUUAAUGCCAUUAGCCUUUGUUUUUACUUUUUCAAAGAAAGCAAAAGCUUUUGUCACUUUGUCUCCUACUUUCAUUUCAUUCCCCACCCUUUUUUUCUUAACAAUGGACCCACCUCAAUCUUAUCUCUUUCUUUUUUUUUUCAUCAAACCCACCUCCAUCUUAUCUCUAUCUAAAGUUAAUUAGCCUUCCACCAAUAUAAUUAUAAUUUUAUUUAAUAAAAUUUAUUUAACAAAAAAGAUGUAAUAAUAAAGUAUAAGAAAUUAUUAUUAUUAUUUUUUAACUUUUUAUCCUGACAUCUGUUUUUUAUCAUUUUUUUUAAAUCUUAAAUGUAAAUCUCUCUUUAUUUCAUUUAAAUGAAUAGAAGUUAAUAUCAAGAAUAUCAAGAAUAUAUUUUUUAUUUUUAAAAAUAAAAAUAAAAAAUCUUAUAUAAAAAAAUAUAGAUUUAGUUCCUGCCCUAAAAAAUUAAAAUUUAAUGUAGUUUUUUAUGGCUUGGAUCAAUUUUUUUACAUCUUUAUUUAAUAAUCUAGAUUUAUACAUAAAAUUAAAUAAAAAUAAUUCGGUUUCCUUUUUCAUUUCCCUUUUUAAACAUAUUUAAAAUAAAGUUACAAAUUUACUUUUUAUCAAGAUAGAAUUUCAUAAGUUGCAUUUAUUUUAAUAAAAAUAACAGAAAAUAUUAAAUAAGAUAGGAUGGCUAUAACUUCUAAAAACAAAUUCCCUGACCCCAUUCUACUCUAAUACAGGUUUGGGAUGGAAUGAAAAGUUGUUUAAGUAAUCAAGGUGGGUUGGGAAGUUGGGAUGAGGGUAUGACCCCAUUAACAUAAUUGGCCAAAAUUCUACGGACUUUUCUCAAUAGUACGGUAAUUUAAAAAAGUUAUGCUUAAAUUAUUGUAGUAGAAGAAGUUAUUACAAAUAUAUGGUAGUUUUUGCCAUCUAGGAGAGAGGAGAUAGGAGAGAGGAAAGAGGGUGAAUGGAUAAUUUUUUUUAAAACCAAAAUCAUCUUUUCAAAUUUCACAAAAAUUUCAAAAGGAACUCGUCUCUUCAAGAGAUGAGUUCCAUGAAAAAAAAAUAUAGAAAAAAAAUAUUCCUUAAGGGAACUCGAGUUCCCUAAAAAAAAAUAUAUAUUUUUUAUAAAAAAAAUUCCCUUAAAAAAAAAAAGAAAAAAACAAUUCCUCAAGAACUCGUCUCUUGAGUUCCCAUGAAAAUAAAAUAUAUAUAUUUUUUUAAAUUCCCAAAUUAUUAAAUUUUUUUUUUAAAUAUUCCUAAAUAUAAAAAUAAAAAAUAAAAAAUAAAAAAAUUUCCUUAAUGAACUCGUCUCUUCAAGAGACGAGUUCCAUGAAAUUUUUUUAAUUUUUUUUUUAAAUUCCCAAAUUAUUAAAAAAAGAAAAAAAAAAAAAAAAAAAAAGGCAAUUCCUCAAUGAAGAGACGAGUUACCAUGGAAAAAAAAUGUAUAUUUUUUUUAAAAAAUUCCCAAAUUAAUAAAAAAAAAAAAAAAAAUCCUCAAGGGAACUCGUCUCUUGAAGAGACGAGUUCCCAUGGAAAAAAAAAUUUUAAAUUUUUUUUUUAAAUAUUCCCAAAUUUAAAAAAAUAAAAAUAAAAAAUAAAAAAUUUCCUUAAGGAACUCGUCUCUUCAAGAGACGAGUUCCAUGAAAUUUUUUAAUUUUAAUUUUUUAAAUUCCCAAAGGCAAUUCCUCAAGGGAACUCGUCUCUUCAAGAGACGAGUUCCCAUGGGAAAAAAAAAUUAAAAAUUUUUUUUUUAAAAAAAAAAUAUUCCCAAAUUUAAAAAAAUAAAAAAAAAAUAAAUAAAUAAAAAAUUUUCCUUAAGGAACUCGUCUCUUCAAGAGACGAGUUCCAUGAAAUUUUUUAAUUUUUUUUUUAAAUUCCCAAAUAUUAAAAAAAAAAAAAAGCAAUUCCUCAAGGGAACUCGUCUCUUCAUGGAAAAAAAAUGUAUAUUUUUUUAAAAAAAUUCCCAAAUAAAAAAAUAAAAUAAAAAAGUCCUCAAGGAACUCGUCUCUUCAUGGAAAAAAAAAAAUAUUCCCAAAUUUAAAAUAAAUAAAUAAAUAAUAAAAAAUUUUCCUUAAGGUACUCGUCUCUUCAAGAGACGAGUUCCAUGAAAUUUUUUAAUUUUUUUUUUAAAUUCCCAAAUUAUAUAUAUAAAAAAAAAAAAAAAGGCAAUUCAAGGGAACUCGUCUUUGAAGAGACGAGUUCCCAUGGAAAAAAAAUUCCCAAAUUUAAAAAAAAAAUUCCUCAAGGAACUCGUCUCUUGAAGAGACGAGUUCAUGAAAUUUUUUUUUUAAAAUUCCCAAAUUAUUAAAAAAAAAAAAAAGCAAUUCCUCAAGGGAACUUGUCUCUUCAAAAGACGAGUUCCCAUGGAAAAAAAAAAUUAAAACAAAAAGAUUUAAAAAAGAGACGAGGAAUUGUUUUAAGGGAACUCUUUUUUUUUUUUUUUAAUUUGGGAAUUUUUUUAAAAAAAAUAUUUUUUUCCAUGGGAAGUUCCCUUGAGGAAUUAUUAUUAUUAUUUUUUUUAUAAUUUGGGAAUUUUUAAAAUAUAUAUAUAUAUAUAUAUAUAUAUAUAUAUAUAUAUAUAUAUAUAUAUAUAUAUAUAUAUAUAUAUAUAUAUAUAUAUAUAUAUAUAUUUUUAUGGAACUCCUCUCUUAAAGAAAAGAGUUCUUGAAAAAUUGUUUUUUUUNNNNNNNNNNNNNNNNNNNNNNNNNNNNNNNNNNNNNNNNNNNNNNNNNNNNNNNNNNNNNNNNNNNNNNNNNNNNNNNNNNNNNNNNNNNNNNNNNNNNAUAUAUAUAUAUAUAUAUAUAUAUAUUUUCAUGGAACUCGUCUCUUCAAGAUACGAGUUCUUGAAGAAUUGUUAUUAUUUUUUUUUUAAUUUGGGAAUUUUUUUAUAAAAAAUAUAUAUAUAUUUUUUUUAGGGAACUCGUCUCUUGAAGAGACGAGUUCCUUUUGAAAUUUUUGUGAAAUUUGAAAAGAUGAUUUUGGUUUAAAAAAAAAAUUAUCCGUUGACCCUCUCUCCUCUCUCCUAUCUUCUCUCUCCUAGGUGGUAAAAACUACCAUAUAUUUGUAAUAACUUCUUCUAAUAUAAUAAUUUAAGCAUAACUUUUUAAAAUUACCGUAUUAUUGAGAAAAGUCCUACUUUCCACCUCCCCGUCUUUCUGCUUCAUUAAUUUGUGUCCACACUGCUUUGCUUUCUAUCCCUCUCUCUCACUCUCUCUGCACACCGAUCACCAUGGAAGCUGUUGGAGAGGCUCUUCUUUCCUCUUUCGUUCAACUCUUGGUUAGCAAACUGAAGUACCCCUCUGAUUUGUUGAAGUAUGCCCGCCAAGAGCAAGUCCACAAGGAGCUCGAGAAAUGGGAGGAAACACUGUCGGAGAUGCUUCAACUGCUCAAUGUCGCUGAGGACAAGCAGAUCAACGAUCCCUCCGUGAAAGCAUGGCUCGAACGUCUCCGGGAUUUGGCUUAUGACAUGGAGGACAUCUUGGACGAGUUUGGCUACGAGGCUUUGCGAAGAAAGGUGAUGGCGGAAGCUGAUGGUGAAGCCAGCACAAGCAAGGUACGCAAGCUCAUCCCUACUUGUUGUACUACUUUCACUCCCGUCAGGGCUAUGCGUAAUGUUAAGAUGGCGUCCAAGAUAACGGAGAUCACUCGCCGUUUAGAAGAUAUUUCAGCUCAAAAGGCAGGGCUUGGUUUGUGUUUGGACAAGGUGAAAAUAAUAACCCAAUCCAGUUGGGAAAGGCGGCCAGUCACUACCUGUGAGGUAUACGUACCUUGGGUUAAGGGCAGGGAUGCAGAUAAACAGAUCAUAAUUGAGAUGCUGCUUAAGGAUGAACCCGCUGCAACCAAUGUUUCUGUAGUUUCCAUCGUGGCCAUGGGUGGGAUGGGCAAGACUACUCUGGCAAAACUGGUGUACGAUGAUACUGCAGAGCCCAUAGCCAAUCAUUUUGCUCUGAAAGCCUGGGUUUCUGUAUCAAUUGAUUUUGAUAAAGUGGGAGUAACAAAGAAACUUCUCGACUCUCUUACUUCUCAAAGCAGUAAUUCAGAGGACUUUCAUGAAAUUCAACGCCAGUUGAAGAAUGCAUUGAGGGGAAAAAGAUAUUUAAUAGUUUUGGACGAUUUGUGGGGAGACAUGCGUGCUAAAUGGGACGACCUACGCUUCCCUUUCUUGGAGGCAGCAUCAGGAAGCAAAAUCUUGGUCACCACUCGCGAACGAGAUGUUGCAGAAUGGGUGGGGGGACCCAACAACUUACAUGUCCUCAAACCCUUAUCUGAUGCUGACUGUUGGUCGGUAUUUCAAAUACAUGCUUUCCAACAUAUAAAUAUCCACGAGCACCCGAAUUUGGAAUCAAUUGGCAGGAAAAUUGUAGAUAAGUGUGGAGGUUUGCCCUUGGCGGCAAAAGCACUUGGUGGCCUUCUGCGUGCUGAACGAAGAGAACGUGAAUGGGAAAGAGUAUUAGAUAGCAAAAUAUGGGAUUUACCUGACGACCCCAUCAUCCCUGCAUUGAGAUUGAGUUACAUUCAUCUCCCUUCACAUUUAAAGAGGUGUUUUGCUUAUUGCGCAAUAUUUCCCCAAGACUAUGAGUUUAUGAAGGAAGAGCUAAUCCCCUUAUGGAUGGCGGAGGGGCUAAUUCAACAACCAAAAGAUACUAGGAGAAAAGAAGAUCUUGGUGAUAAGUAUUUUUGUGAGCUAUUGUCAAGGUCAUUUUUCCAAUCGUCGAGUAGCAAAGAAUCACUAUUUGUGAUGCAUGACCUUGUUAACGAUCUAGCUAAAUUUGUUGCUGGAGAUACAUGCUUGCAUUUGGAUGAUGAGUUUAAGAAUAAUUUGCAAUGUCUCAUUCUUGAAAGUACUCGUCAUUCAUCAUUUGUUCGUCAUAGUUAUGAUAUCUUCAAAAAGUUUGAAAGAUUUUAUAAGAAGGAGCGCUUGCGCACAUUCAUAGCUAUUUCAACACAAAGAUAUUUUCCGACUCGCUGCAUAAGUUAUAAGGUGCUUAAGGAAUUGAUACCAAGAUUAAGAUACCUAAGGGUGCUCUCCUUGAGUGGUUAUCAGAUAAAUGAGAUACCAAAUGAAUUUGGCAAUUUGAAACUUCUAAGGUACCUUAAUUUGUCUAACACCCAUAUUGAAUAUUUACCUGAUUCAAUUGGCGGUCUUUAUAAUCUACAAACAUUGAUAUUAUCAUACUGCUAUAGGCUUACCAAGUUGCCUAUUAACAUUGGACACCUAAUUAACCUUCGACAUCUUGAUGUUAGAGGUGACUUCAGAUUACAAGAAAUGCCUUCACAAAUUGGUCAAUUAAAAGAUUUGCAGGUAUUGUCUGAUUUCAUGGUGGGCAAAAACAAUGGUUUGAAUAUCAAAGAGUUGCGAGAAAUGUCAAAUCUUAGAGGUAAACUCCGUAUUUCAAAAUUGGAAAAUGUGGUGAAUAUUCAAGAUGUAAGGGUAGCCCGUCUAAAAUUAAAAGAUAACCUUGAAAGAUUGACACUAGAGUGGAGUUUUGACUCGGAUGGUUCAAGGAAUGGAAUGGAUCAAAUGAAUGUCCUUCACCAUUUAGAACCUCAAUCGAAUCUGAAUGAACUCAACAUUUAUUCAUAUGGUGGUCCAGAAUUCCCACAUUGGAUAAGGAAUGGCUCAUUCUCUAAAAUGGCGGUUCUAAGACUCGAAGAUUGCAAAAAGUGCACAUCUUUACCAUGCUUGGGGCGGUUACCAUCGCUUAAACGGUUGAGGAUUCAAGGAAUGGAUGGAGUAAAAAAUGUGGGUUCAGAGUUUUAUGGAGAGACGUGUCUUUCUGCAGAUAAGCUUUUCCCAUCACUAGAGUCUCUACAGUUUGUAAAUAUGUCAGAAUGGGAGUAUUGGGAGGACCGGUCCUCCUCGAUAGAUUCCUCAUUCCCUUGCCUCCGUACGCUUACAAUUUAUAAUUGCCCUAAAUUGAUUAAGAAAAUACCCACUAACCUACCUUUGCUGACAGGGCUCUAUGUUGACAACUGUCCAAAACUGGAGUCUACACUUUUAAGGCUACCAUCUCUCAAGGAAUUAAGAGUCAAGGAAUGUAAUGAGGCGGUCUUGAGAAAUGGAACUGAGCUCACCUCAGUGACCUCACUCACCGAGUUAACAGUUUCUGGGAUUUUAGGGCUUAUCAAAUUGCAACAAGGAUUCGUGCGGUCAUUGUCAGGGCUUCAGGCUUUGGAAUUUUCAGAAUGCGAAGAGCUCACAUGUUUGUGGGAGGAUGGGUUCGAAUCGGAAAUCCUUCACUGCCAUCAACUUGUAUCCUUGGGAUGCAAUCUUCAGUCUUUAAAAAUAAAUAGAUGUGAUAAACUAGAGAGGCUUCCAAAUGGAUGGCAGUGCCUAACAUGCCUUGAAGAGUUGAAAAUCAUGCACUGUCCAAAGCUGGUGUCAUUUCCCGAUGUAGGUUUCCCACCAAAGCUGAGAAGUCUUGGUUUUGCAAAUUGUGAAGGUCUCAAGUGUCUACCUGAUGGGAUGAUGCGAAAUAGUAACGCCAGCAGUAACUCAUGUGUCCUUGAAUCCUUGGAGAUAUGCGAGUGUUCAUCUCUCAUUAGCUUUCCAAAUGGGCAAUUACCCACCACCCUAAAGAAACUAAGCAUACGGGAGUGUGAAAAUCUAGAGUCUCUUCCAGAAGGAAUGAUGCACUGCAAUUCCAUCGCCACCACCAACACCAUGGACACGUGUGCCCUUGAAUUCUUAUUUAUAGAGGGGUGUCUGUCUCUGAUUUGUUUUCCGAAAGGUGGGUUACCUACCACUCUCAAGGAACUCAACAUAAUGAAGUGUGAAAGGCUAGAGUCUCUACCAGAGGGAAUAAUGCACCACGAUUCCACCAAUGUUGUUGCUCUUCAAAUCCUGGAUAUCUCUUCAUGUUCAUCUCUCACAUCCUUCCCAAGAGGGAAGUUUCCUUUCACCCUUCAACAACUUCGGAUUCAGGAUUGUGAACAACUAGAGUCAAUUUCAGAGGAGAUGUUUCACCCUACCAAUAAUUCACUUCAAUCUUUACACAUCCGGGGGUAUCCUAAUCUCAAAGCCCUGCCAGAUUGCCUCAACACCCUUACAUAUCUAAGUAUUGAAGAUUUUAAAAAUCUGGAAUUGUUGCUUCCUCGAAUAAAAAACCUCACUCGUCUUACAGGGCUUCACAUCCAUAAUUGUGAGAAUAUCAAGACCCCCCUAUCCCAAUGGGACCUUUCCGGACUCACCUCUCUUAAAGACCUUUCCAUAGGAGGCAUGUUUCCAGAUGCAACUUCCUUUUCGAAUGACCCCCGCUUGAUUCUUCUUCCUACAACUCUCACCUCCCUUUCCAUUUCACAAUUCCAGAAUCUGGAAUCCCUAUCCUCCCUGUCUCUCCAAACCCUCACCUCUCUUGAACGGCUAUGGAUAUACAAUUGCCCGAAGCUCCGGUCAAUUUUGCCAAGGGAAGGACUGUUGCCUGACACCCUUUCACAACUGCAUAUGUGGCAGUGCCCAUAUCUAAAACAAAGGUACUCGAAGGAGGAAGGAGAUGAUUGGCCCAAGAUUGCCCACAUCCCUUGUGUGGGGAAGAUGUGAGCAAUAAAUAAGGUAUUACUUCUCAUCCAAAAACAUCAUUCUUCCUCUUUCUCUCCUCAACAUCACUUUCAAUUUCUCUCACCUACUACUGGAAUUUUCUAAUUGGACUUGAUUUUUUGUUAAAAUUUUCAAAUAGAAAGCAGCUUUUCACAUGGCUCAUAGCUUGCUAUUUUCUCUUUAAUCUGUCGCAAUAAAAAAUGAGAAUCACUACUUCUACCUUGCCAAGUCCAAAUUCAAUCUAUGAUGCAAUCUUAUCCUCGAGUUGUAUGCGUUUACCUCUGUUAUUAAGUUUCUUUUGGUCUUUCCUUUUAUAUGUAGGUGCAUUUUUAGUGCUUAGAAUGUAAAAAGGAGAGAGAAGAUGAAUUCCCUUUAUAGAUGGAUGACAAACAGCUUCUUGGCAAAAUUAUCUUCAGCUACAUGUAAGUAUCAUUAUUUUUCCAUUGUUCUAUUAAAUUUUAAUGUAAGUCUCAUUCGUUUUUCCACUAAAUGAACUACAUACCAUAUUUAAGCGUCUACAUAUUCAUAAUUGUUCAAUUCUGUAGUCUAUAGCUAGUGGAAUGAUGCAUGAUGACAACAAUAGCCAUAGGAAUUGUCUUCUUGAAUUGUUAGAGAUCAAGAGAUUCCAUCUUUCACAUCCUUUCAUAUAUAUGAGUCACCCACUUCCUUUAAAGCAAAUUAAUAAUAUUUUGGUACAAGAAAAUGGGGCCAAUUAAGAACAGAAAUUAUAGAGAAAAUGUCAUUUGAAGCCUUUCAUGGUUAGUUCUAUUUGAAAAAUAAUAUUUUCUAGGUGCAUCAUGGCUCUUGUAAAUUGCAUAUCAAUUGUGAACUCGUAAGCAUAAUUGACUUUAGUUUGAUACUAAUCUUGAAUAUUUUUGUUUUUGGUUAUUCAUUUAUUUUGUGGUUCCUUAAUGAUUGAUACUCAUGUUGAUUUAAUCUUUCUUAGCUCAGCUAAUUUUAACUCAUUUUUUAAAAUUAUUUUAUUGUCUAGCCAUCAAAUCUUUUUGGAGUUUUUAAUGAUAUAAAUUAGGUACUUAUGAUGAUGAUAUUCUUAAGUUUUGGGGUCAUUCCUUUUUUGCUAAAAUCAAGCAUGUUCAUUCACUAUAUUAUAAAUCUUAUCUUCUUAGACAUUAACUUCAGAUUUUUGUUUUUAUAGAUGUAGUAUGCUCAAAUGGGUUGCACAUCCUGUUGGAGCGACAAUGUCAAAUAAGAUGUACAUUAUACAAAUAUUUGAACAUCUGAGAAGUAUCUGAAUCUGGAAACUACCAGUGUGCCUUUACAACCUUAGAAUUCCUCACAUAAGAAAAUGUGGAUCUCAAGUCCCUACCUCAUCAGAUUCAGAGUCUCACAUAUUUUCAACAGAUUCAGAGUUUCACAUCUCUUCACAUAAUCUCAGAAUUCUUCACAUUGUCCAAGUUCUAGACUUCUUUCAGAAAGCAAUGUCACAAAUACAAUUGCAAGGGUAUCAAGACACCCUAUUUUUGUGGGCCCUCCAAAGGUACGCCUCUCCCAAAACUCAGUUAAUUCAUUUUAUAUUGUGCAUAUUUAAAUGUAGUUUCCUUUUGACAACAUUUCUUGCUACAACUCUCAUUGAUCUUUCAAUAAAAAGAUUUUAGAAUUUGGAAUCCUUAGGCCCCUUCCUUGGCCUUCAAAAAUUCAUCUCUCUUCAACUUGUAGAGAAUAAAGAGUGCCCUGUUCUAGUCCUCCUUGCCAAGUGAAAGGCUAUCUGCUGAAUUUUGUUGAGUGUGUACUUCUAAAUCAAAGAUGUUUGAAGAAGAAUGAUGGAGAUUGGCCCCAGAUUGUCAUCUUCCCCUAAUGUGAGGAUAGAUCAUAAGCUCAUUUUUGAACCAUAUUAAGUUCAAAUUGCAAAAAUGGGUGUUGAGGCAAUUCAACCUAUCAUAUCCUUACAUUCAAAAAGGUAACUCUUAUUCUUAACACACAUUUCUUACCCUUUUAUCUGCACAAUACCAUGUCAAUUUCUCAUAUUGAUUUUGAUUUCUACUAGUGGUUCAACUAUUUAUGAAAAUCUCCAUGGAGUUAUUUUGAAAGUUUGACUAGGAAGCAGGUUUUGUCAAUCUCUCUCAUGGUUCAAUGUAAGCAUCUCAAGUUCUACCUCUAAUGAAAUCUUGGUAAUUUUCUUUUAGGUGCUCUCAAAGCAGUUUUAGUUGGAAAUUUGACAUGCAGGAAUGGGAUAAAAAAUGACAAGGAAAGGUCUUAUCUGACAUCAAUUACAAAUUAGCAUGGAUGCCUUCAUUUCAAUGUAAGCAUCUUUAGUGGUACUCUUCUAACUGGAUUUGAAUACAAUUUUCUAAUUUCAAUAUAUAAUACACAAAGUUUUCAUGAAUAAGUGCACUUUAUGUCAAAAUAUCUAUCUUCUAUAAUAAAAAAAACGACAUAUUUUCCUUUUAUAAUGAAUAAUGAAAUUUGUUUUGUCGUGUAGUUAUUUAUGAACCCAAGUCAUUUUAUUCAGGUUUUCACAUUGUCAAAAAGAAUGAUUCAAUUUGUUGUAUGUUUAAUGCUCUUAUUGUGUUGACAAAAUGGGAUUUGGAUUUCACAUUGGAGAUUACUAGUUUGAACUAAAUGCAAGUAAUACCUCUUUUACUUUUUAUUCAUGUUUAUACUUAUUUUUUACUUUUUGAGGGAUAACAGAUGAUUAAAAAAAAACCUAAGUAGCAAAUAUAUGUGUCUAACUUCCAUUUAUUUAUUUUACAGUUUCUACAACACAACAUGUUCUUAUGUCUCUUGGAAAGUUAAGAACCUUGUUUAAAAUUCGGUAUGUGUUCCAUGCUAAGAAGUCUCGCGCUCUAUUAUUAUGAUGGUCUCGAAUAGCCACAUGCAUCUAUUUUGAUGCAUAGAGAACUCAAGAAAACAUCUGGUUUUUAGUGCCUUCCAGAUUACUAGAUUUCAUAUUAAUUUCUCAAUCAAUAUGCACUGUGUUUUUUUAUGGAACAUUGCUAAAAAAUUUCGUAAUUUUUUUUUUCGUUUAUGAAUCAUUACUAAAUUUUUAUUGCAAACAAUUGUCAGGAAUCAUUAGCAUGAAUUUUAUCCAAUGUACAAGCUUUUAGGUGAGUGAUAAACAUGGAAAAAAUUUUCUAUUUUAUUUUGUUUGAAAUUCUCUUCAUUUUUAAACCAGCAUACUACUAUAUUUAUAGAAAAUUUCCUUAUCUAGAUUUAUUAUGCAGAUUUGAACAAUGUUUGAAGGGAAUGACACUUUUUGGCAUGUCCUACUAUCUUGAGUUGCACAAGUCAGAGGCUCAAAGAGCACAAACUCUUAUGACUGGAGGGAAGACAAUUGACUUCUCAAUCUAUGGUGAGCAGUGAGCAUUCUAUUGUGAGUUGUAUGGUAUUCUUUGAAUUACACACAACUUCAUUUAGCUUGCAAAUACUUAAUGCAAUUGUGCAUGGCCAUGAAAUGAACUCAUACUCAACACAAUUGUGAGUUUCUUUUGAUUUUAUACAGAUUCAUGGGUGAAAAAACCUCCUAGUAACUUUGAACUUUAACAUUAAUAUCUUAGGAAUAUUUGGUUGUUGCAAUACUAAUGUUUUUAAGAAAGCAGGUUACAAUAUUCAUAGGUGAAAAAAUCUGUGUAACCUCCUAGUAACUUUGAACUUAAACUUUAAUACCUGAGGAACAUUUGGUUAUUGCUAUGCCUAAUGCUUUUUGGAAGCUGGUUACAGUAUUCAUGGAUGAAAAAAAUCUGUGUUUUUAUUUUUUUAUUUUUAAUUUUAAGUAGAUUCAUGGCCUUUAUCAAUUCCUUGCAUAUUCCUAAUAUUAUAAAGCUUACCUGUUUUCCCAAAUUGCUAAUGGCAUGAUAGAAGUGAAAGCAUUAAAUUGUUAAUUGAAAGAAAUAAUCUGUUUGCAGUAAGAGAUUGGAGAUAAGAUUACAACAUGAUCUCAUGUCCUUGGUAAUUUGUAGAUUGAGGGUUUUCAAAAGGCUUUGCCCCAAUACCAUUAAAAGACGAAGAGCUGCCAUGAAAGCUACUAACAUUGGUACCUUGUAUCUCAAAGUUUCAUAGAGUUGAUAAUCGAAUUGGUGCCAAGACCUGGUCUUUUUCCCAAGAUAGGUGUGUUAUUCAUGCCAAAUAUAUGCCCUAUUCAAAUUAUAGGGCUUUGGAUUCCUUAAUGAUUGGAAUGAUCUUCGGAAUUAUUGCAUAUUUCCAAAUGUCAUGUCACAUCUUUCCAAUAGGCCAGUGUCCUUCAGUGUUCUAAAUUGUGGAGAUCACGAGUUGCUAAAAUUUGUGGUCUAUAUUAGAGAAGAAUUUUUUUGUGCUCUCUCUACUGGCUGCAUCUCUUGCCCUUGCAGCUGCAUAUCUUUUAAUCCUCUUUGGUGAGAAAAGAAUAAAGAAUAGGAAAAAGUUGUCCCAUGAUGACUCACAUUCCUAAAGCUCGAGUUGAUAAUGUACCUUACUCAUAUUGAACAGUGAGAAAUGUCAAAGACAUCCCUUAUCUGAGUAAGGCCUUCACAGACUCAUGACUCUGAAACAACUCAUGAUUGAUAGUAUACUUUAAGAUACUUUCAUAUGUAUCUCAUGUAUAUUUUCAUGUAAAGAUUCCAGAAUCCAUGACUUCCCUACAUCACCAAGACCUUACCUAAGCUCCAGUGGUAUUUGGCAACUAAAGGAGAACCCUGUGAUUGUUUCAGAGCGAUACAUCAGACACAACUUCUAAAUCCAAUGAUGAGACAUCAGUUCAAGAUUGCCCACAUCUCCUAUUUGGAAAUAGAUGGAGAGAUUCAUCUUUGAUCCGUAAUAGUUUGGAUUCCAAAAAUGGAAGCACGUGGAGUUCACCCAAUUCUAUCCAUAUAUUCAGUAAGUUUCAUCUAUUCCCAACACAUAAUUCUUACAUUUUAUCUUCUUAUUAUGAGUAUAAAUUGUCAUACUGUUGAAAAUUUCUACAAGUUGAGCUACAAGAGAAUCCCUACACUCAACCUUUUUGUUGAAAGCUUGACUAGGGAGCAGCUUCUGACAGUAAUUACAAGCUUUAAGGCUUCACAUUUGCUAUUCAAUGUUUGUUCUCCUUGUUGGUCUCUCCCAUAGUCCCAUGUAAACAUCAAUGUUUUUCUCUCUCCCAAUUUAAAUUUUCACACAAUACUAUAACUGAAUGAAUUCAUUUAUGUUAACAAGAUGUUCUAUUUGGUGUAUUAUUGCAGGAUUCUUUGUGACAGGUUGUCUAAUUCCUAUUCACCAUGUUUUCUACUUUGUUCAGGUGUACUGACAUGCCAAUUAGAUAUCUGGAAUUUAUAUGUUGUAAUGAAUGAGAAGCUACCAAGAGGGUGCACAACUUCAAGCCUCCUAGUGAGUUAAUAAUUGAUGGUUGAAUGCCCAAGACACAUCUUUUUUCUAGGGACAAGUUUUUCAUCCAAUGCAAGAAGGCUGACAGUUCAAAAUUGUACAUAGGGCUCUGCUGUUGUUACUUAUUAUGAUUCACAAUUCAUGCAAUAGCAAGUCUCUAGAAUUCUUUCAGAAUUCUAAAUACCCUCUCAUGUGUGUCCAAGAGGCCGGCUUCUUGCAAUAUUCCUAAUGAAGGUGGAGAUCCUAAGUUGCCAAAUUUGGGGUGUAGAAUAUAUGAAUGUUGUCAAAUGAAAAAGAAGAAUACUACUUCUCUUGAAUACCGGUAUGUUGCUUGUCUCUAUUUCUCAUAUUAUUGUCAAUAGAUGCCUUACCUGAUGCUUAAACAUCUUGGUAUUUAUGAAUAUGGAAAACAUGUUUUGUUUUUGUGUCAUGUUCCACUUCCAAUGCUGACAUUUGUUUGUGAACUAGUUUUGGUGGCUGCCCACUUGGCCUUUUUCAAUUCUUUGUUUACUGGCAAUAUUCCAAAGCUUAAUUCUCUUCCUAAAUCACAUGUUAGAGUACAAGUGAUAGAAUUAGACAUUGUUGGUUGCAAGGAAAUCAUUUGUUUGUGUCAAGGGGAAUGGAGAUUGGAUAACCACAUAAUCUAAUUUCUCUUUGUACUUUGAAGAUUUAAAGGGUUUUCAAAAGCAUUUUCUCCAGUAUCAGUGGAGGAAGACGAGCUGCCACCGAAACAACUAGCAGCUUUGAUUGAGUUGGUGUCUCAAGUCUCCCAAAGAACUCGCUAUUGAGUUGGUGCUCAAGACAGUCUACUUCCCCAAGAUAGGUAUGUUAUUGCACGUUUAAAAUUAUAGCACUAUGAUUCCUUACUGAUUGGAAUGAUUCAUGAUAGCACACAGCAUGUCUCUGGAAUUCUUGCAUUUUUCUAAAUGUGUUGUUAUGUUUGUUGAAUAGGCUAGCUUCCUCCGGUGCUCUAAAAUGUGGAGAUUACAGGUUGCUAAAAUUUGUGCGUCUAUAUUAGAUGAAGAUUGGGUGAUUCAGAAGAACAAUUACAGAUCCCUUGGAUCAUGUAUGUUGCUCAGUCUCCACAUCAUGGAGACAUCAACUAAGCUCCAUUUGUAUUUGGCAAGUGAAAUUAUAUAUGAGAGACAGAACCCCUAAAUCCAAUGAUGAGAGAUGACCCAAAGAUAGCCCACACCUCCUAUGUGAAAACAGAUGGUGAGAUUCAUCUUUGAUCUAUAAUGGUUCACUACAAUAGCAGAAGCGAGGAGAUUAACCAAAUCCUAGUUUCAUACCAUUGAAAUUUCCUACAAGUGGAGCUAUUUGGUGAAUUUUGCACUUUCCUUUUUGUUAAAAAAAACUCUCUUGAGAGUAGAUUUUUUCAGCAAUUACAAGCUUUAUGACUUCACAUUUACUAUUCAAUGUGUGUUUCUCUUGUUGAUCCCUCCCACAGUCCCAUGUAAGCAUCAGUAUUUCUGUCUCUCCCAACUCAAUGUUUCACACAACUUUAUCCUUUAACUGGAUGAGUUCAUUUAUGUUAAUAAGAUUUUCUUUUUGGUGAAUUGCUACAGGAUUCCUUCUAUGAUGGGUUAUUUAACUUCACUUUCAACAUAGCUUCUAGUUCAUUCAGGUGUGGUGAAAUUGGCACUUGGAUAUCUACAAAUCAUAUAGUGCAAUAUAUAAGAAACCACCAAGAGGGCGCACAACCCUGAGUCUAUUAGAGAGAUGGUUGCAUGCCCUGGAAACAACUCGUUCCCAGGGACAGAUUUAUAUAUAUAUAUUUCGAGUUGUUAUUGAUUGGAAUGAUUCAAAAGUAGCAAUGGGCCUUUAGGAUUCUUUCAGAUUCCUAAAUGCCCCAUUUGCAUGUCUUUCCAAGAAGCCAACUUCCUGCAAUCCUAAUGAAGGUGGAGAUUCUGAGUUGCCUAAAUGAAUGUUGUCAAAAGAAAAAGUAGAACAUCACUUCUUGUGAAUACCGGUAUGUUGCUGAUCUCUAUCUCUCACUUCAUUAUCAAGAGGUGCGUUACCUAAUGCUUAAACACUUUGGUAGUUAUGAUUGUGGAAAAUAGAUUUUGGGUGGUAGAGAAGGGAAUAAUGCACCACAACACGUUUCUUGUACAUCUUACAAUGAUGCUCUUCCACAAUGAUCAAAAGAAACAGAGUCAUCAAAACCAAGCAAUGACAUGAUUUUUCCUCAAGGAGGAAGGAGAAGGAAAGGAGAGGAAGCAAUCCAAUGCAAAGAUACAUUAGAUUGCUGUGUCUUGAAAGGGGAUGAAGAGAUGGAGAACAUAGGUUGCUUCUUUUCGGUAACAUGAAGAAGUCGUGAAGGCAAGUUGUUUGGCUCGACCAAGAGAGGAAGAAACAGAGAAAAAGAAUCCAAGGUUCAUCAGAGGAUACUAGUGUGACGUUACACCCUUGUAAAUUUAAACAAGCAACUCCUUUGAAAAAGGUUCACAUGAUAUAUAUCCAUGAGUGCUACACUUUUGUAAUUCAUUGAACUGUCAUGCCACAAACUGUGUGGAUCAAUGUAUUGUGCUAUUACAGUCAUCCAUAACUGCUUCCCAACUUUACAUGAUCAAAGGGUAAAAUAUUCAUGGCCAGGACACCAUUUUUGUGAUCUGCAAACCUAAUGAAUACAAUUAAAUCCGAAUGAUAAAAUCAUUACAGCCCAAUAAAGAAAAACAUUUUAGAAUAACUGUUCUUGGCAAGUCCGAACAGAGUGAAUCAGAGGGCUUUCUCCAGAAUUGCAGGAUUAUCUGGAAUUGUUUCUGAUUAUAGUGAUUCACAAGUAGUAACAGGUCUCUUGACUUCUUUCAGAUUUCCAAAUGUACUUCUCUUAAGUCUUUCCAAGAGCCCAGAUUCUAGCAAUCCACCUUCAAGUUUAGACUAAAAGAAUAUUGUCUAAUGCAAAAGGAGAAACAACACUUCUCUUGAUAUCAUUUUUCCGUAGGGUGGAAGGAGAGGGUAUAAGGAGAGGAUCCAACCCAAUACAAAAAAAUGCAUGAGAUGCUGCAUCCUGAUGGGACGAAGAAAAGAAGAAUAACCAAAUUGUUUGGCUUGACCAAGAAAGAAACAAAGAAAACAGAGCUGAAGAAAAGAAAUUGGUAACAUAUGUGCUCAGAUAUUCCAACCAUCGAAGGAUACUGGGGUGGUAUUUACCUAAAGGUCCACAGCUGAAGCAAGCAAACCAUGUAAAGUCAAACAAGUUGUGCUCUAUUUAAAAAAUUUCAUAUGAUAUAUAUGCCCAUGAGUGCUACAUUUCAUAAUUUCAUUCAACUGUCAUGCUGCAAACUCUCUGGAUCAAUGCACAGAGCUACUAUUAAAGAGACAUUCAAAGCCAUGGCACCUUUUUCCUGAUCUGCAAACCUAAUGAAUAAGAUUCAGUCUAAGUAAUAAAAAUAUUACAGCUGAAUAAAGUUUUCUACCAUUCUCGACGAAUGGGUACAGAGCAUAUCAGAAGGGUUUUCUCCAGCAUGCAGGCUUAUCUAGAUACUAUAGGUGUCCCAAAGUUGUAGAACACCUGAACCAAUUGAUAGAAUACCGGAAAUACUCUGAAAAGGGGACUGCUCCACAAACCACCCUUAAUCCCUCAAAACAUCAGCACUUGGUGCACAACCUUUAAGUUACACCUAAGGUAGACUGUAACUGUAGGCAGAAGCUGAGUGCCUGCCAGGUCCAUCAUGUUGUGGAAGAAUCAUGUCAAUCUUCAUUUCAUACAUCUCCUUCAGCCAUCAACCCAUCCAUAACUUGAGCACCCUGUCCCGACCGCCAGAGGCCACCUUCUCACCAUCUGGACUCCAAUCAACAGCAAAAACCUUUCCAGAAUAGGAAAAGGAGGAAAACAUUAAUUAAAACAGGUCAAUGCCAAAAGAAGAAUAUUAACUAGACUUGGAAUAAGAACAUACCUCAUCUUCAUGGCCUGGAAGAUCUUGUUUUAACUUGUGUGUCCUGAUAUCCCAAACCUAUAUGGUAAACAAUAUUAAUCGAAUUAAUUGAUAUGUUGUUGCUGUGAAAAAGGACAGCACUCACAUUUCCAACUGGGCACAGAAUUUCCCACCAGCUCUGAAAAUUCUAGCCCCAGAUUUGUAUACAUGCCCAUCAUCAAUAUUAGUAAUUGGUUUGACAGAUUUGCAACAAUUUAACACAACUACAAGGCUUAGUGUGAUGGGAGUGUCUGUGGUGGUCAAGAGUGCAAGGCAGGAUCCAUUAGAAAUAUCCAAAGUAGGCCUUUAUAGGAUUUUUUUAUUUUAGUAUAUUUUCAUAUUACAUAUUACACAUUACUCUUUCCCAAAUUACUGUUUAAACUUGAGGGGAAAAAAAAGGUGUCAUAUGACGAUAUCUAACUGUAGUUUACCAAAAACUUCAUACAGAAAGAGUAUAACUCAACUCAGGAAGAAAUAUUUUUCCUAUCUCUACCUUGGUUCUUUUAUUUUUUAGUGCCUUGACAAGUUAUAAAAAAGAAACAGAAUGAUUCAACCAUAUGAUAAGCCCAUCAAUACCAUAAAAGGAAGAUAAUAAUUUCUACAAUUUACCUUCAGUGUAGAGUCCUUGCUUCCACUCAAAAGAAGCCUACUAUCAGCGGACCAACUGUAGGGCAACAUGAAACAAGAUGAUUGUCUGUACAAAAGAAAGGAUUGGUUUAAACAAAAAUAAUAGAGCAAUUCAAACCUUAUCUGAUAAACAGGACCAACAUGACCUCGAAAAGCGGCAACAAAUUUCCCUGUUGUACCAUUCCAUAACUUGACAGACUUGUCAAACGAAGCACUUGCUACCCAUUGUCCAUCAGGGGAAAAGUAAACAUGGUUCACAAGCUGACAGCAAGCAAAACAUUAAAGGCUCAACUUAAGAGUUUGAAGAAAGAAAUCGAUGCAAUUGGAUAGGUUUAAAAUUUAGGGUCUCUUUACCAUGCAUAGAGAACUUCAUUGAUAAAAAACAGCCCAUGGAUGCCUACUCCAAUGGGCAAUGUCAAGUUGAAUUUUGAUGGAUGCUCUUUGGGCAACCCAGGACAAUUGAGAAUUGGAGGAACACUUACAGAUCAUAAUAGAUCAUUAGUGAAAGCAUUCCCUAAGAAUGCUAGAGUGGGUCUAGCCAUUGAGGUGGAGAUUUCAAUGUUGAUGAAAGGGCUAAAGCUUGCUAAACCCGAGGGUUUAUCUAGUCUUCUAGUAGAAGGAGGUUCUACAGUAGUGAUAUAUUGGGUAAAUGAUGAGAGACGCUCGUGGCAGUUUGAUGGAUGGCUACACCAAAUUUUUGACAUUACUCUAGAGUUAGGGUGUUCAUUCUGUUGGAUUCCUUGGGAAGCUAACCAGGUAGACGAUAUUUCAGCAAGAUGGGGAGCAAAACAGUUGAUUCCUUUUGUAGGGGAUUUUCUACCCCCCUAAGUUCUUGAGUUUCAUUUUAUUUUUAUUUUUUUGAUAGGUAAAUUUAGAGAAUAUACAAAAUGCACUUGGAAAAUGGUACAUCAAAGUACACACGAAGUAUACAAAAGGCAAGCAAGAGAGAGAAGGAAAAAGCAAAUACCAACCUCCUACACCCCCUCAAAAGCUGGAUUAUCCCUGGCUGGUACUCCCAAAACCAAAGAACACCCCAAACCUACACCAACUGAAACACCUUAAACUACCCCCUGGAGUAGAUAGUUUUUUUCCCACUUGUGACCACAACUACGUAGUCGUCAUUCAAGGCAUAUGCAUAAGUUAAUAGGAUUAUUUGUCUAAUUAUUUCCUAAUAAACAACAUCACAACAGAAGCAAUUAAAUUUGAGAUUAUUUUCCAACAUAGGUUACCAUAUCAGCAUUAAGCAACAACCUAC